GUGGGGAAUUUUCCGCAAUGGGCGAAAGCCUGACGGAGCAAUACCGCGUGAGGGAGGAAGGCUCUUGGGUCGUAAACCUCUUUUCUCAGGGAAGAAAAAAAUGACGGUACCUGAGGAAUAAGCAUCGGCUAACUCCGUGCCAGCAGCCGCGGUAAUACGGAGGAUGCAAGCGUUAUCCGGAAUGAUUGGGCGUAAAGCGUCCGCAGGUGGCGAUGUAAGUCUGCUGUUAAAGCGUCUAGCUCAACUAGAUAAAAGCAGUGGAAACUACAUGGCUAGAGUGCGUUCAGGGCAGANGGAAUUCCUGGUGUAGCGGUGAAAUGCGUAGAGAUCAGGAAGAACACCGGUGGCGAAGGCGCUCUGCUAGGCCGUAACUGACACUGAGGGACGAAAGCUAGGGGAGCGAAUGGGAUUAGAUACCCCAGUAGU
rnacentral:rRNA from 1 species